UGAAUUGCCCAAUAAUUGGAUAGAAUUAAGAAAUUUUAAUAAUUUCUUGUUAGUAUACAUAAGUUUUUUUUAUUUGCAAAGUGUAAUCAUUUAAAGAUCAGUCCAAUCUGAAAUAAUCUAUCAAUGCUGAAUAUAAAAAUCCAAAUACAAUGCUGCUUAGUCUUUCUCUAUCGCUCUCGGUGCUCUCUGGUUUCUGUUAUUGUUGUUGAGCAUUGCAUUUGCAAUUGGAUUUGCUAAUGCAGUGCGUUUACUUUGUUCGCUCGGUGCAGUCGCGUUUCUUGUGCGUGCGUGAAUUAGUUAAUAAGUGUGCACAUACACUAUAAAAUACACACAUUAAAGUUAUGUGUAAUACAUUGUUUGAAAUUGAAAAAGUUAUAAAGUACUGCUGACAAAACUUGUGUAAAAGUGUCGCGCAACAUUUUUCAGUGCUCUUGUGUUUCAGUUUCUGUUGCUGUUUCCUCUUGUUCGAUUUCUGUGUCGGUAUCGCUGUUUCGACAAACAAAAGCUAAAGAGACGCGAGAACCGGUUAACUGUUUGCAAAGCUUGCAAAAAAAAAAGAAAGAAAAACAACAAAACAACAUUGGUUUUGUUUUUUUUUGUAUUUUUUGGUGUGUGCACACUGCAAAUGCAAAAGCCCCAACAACAACAACGACAACAACAACAACAACAACAAUAAAAGCGGCGGAAACGAAUGAAAUUCGCAUAAGAAGAAAAUUAGCUGCCAUUCAUAAUGCCAUAUGAAUACAUUCACUAAUUUAAUCAUAAACCGCGGUCAGGCAAAUCCAGAAAAUUGAAAUAUUCGACGAAAAGCAAUAAAUAAUUGUUCUGCUGAUUAAGUGCAAAAAAAUUGAAAUCAAAUGUGUCACAUUUAACGAAAAAUAUUAUAUAUAAAUUUAUAUACAUCAGCAAAAAAAAAGUGAUUAAAAGGCAAAAAUUGCAGUAAUUUGAGUGAAGUGCAACAAAAAUACAACAGCAAAUAAAAGUAAUUCGUGCAACCUCGUAGAUACCAAUUGAAAUUGUGAAUAAUUUAUAAAAGGCAAUUGAUAUUGCAGUACAGUGAAACAUGUCUACGAAGUGUUCGUCAAUUUAAAAUUAAUUCAACGUCAUG